rnacentral:lncRNA from 1 species
UUUAGGGUUUGUGUUUGAAGAAAAUUUGAUAUGAGAAUUUAGAGACAAUCGAGGAUCGAUUGCUCUGAUACCAUGCUAAAAUAUGAAUAUGGUUUGAAUAAUUUAGGUUAUCUUUAUUCUUCACCAUAAUGAGGUAUAUAUAAAAGUUUACAUGUACUAUACAAGGAAUUAGAUACAGUAAAGAAUUAGGAAAGAUUAGGGGUCUGGGAAGGUGGGUGUGGGUGGGGGUGAAUUGAUGUCGAGUUUGGGUGGCUUGGUUGAUGGUUAGGAUGGUUGCGUGGCUAAGUUGGUGGCGCCUUGGAGGAAGCAGUCGGGCUGGAGGAGGCUAGAAGGCGAGAAAGGGAGAGAUAUUUUUUUCUCUUUUCAUUUUUUAUUUUUUGAUUUAUUAUUUAACUUUCCUAAUGAAUGUAAGGGUAGAGUAGGAAAGAAACGAAUAAAAAC